CAGAUGCCAAUUGAUGGUGUUUAGUAAAUGCGAACUGCUCAGAUAAUAUUUUUAUUCUGUAUUGCCAGGCGAUGGAAUGUCGUUGAUUCAAACCAAAAUAAAUCUGCCACGUCGAACAUGAGACAGACAACGCAUAGAGAGAUUGUGGGUGCAGGGUAAAAGAGCUAACAAGUUAAAAUGAAGAUAUCUGCAGAAAUGAAUACUUGAAAACCUAUUUAACACCCAUUGCACGAAACAAGUACUUACAUGAUACAAGUGAUUAAACGGAGCUGUAUUUUGUGAUCAAGUAGACAUGAAUACUUCAUUAAAGAAGAAAGUGUAUAGUGUGUGUAUUUUAGUGAUGUUCGUGAGGAAAUGGAUGCAGAGGCCCACACAAAGUGUCGUGAAAUUCAUUCCAACAUGAGUGUGGCUUGUUAUUGUCGCAGACAUAAGAGUGAAACGGUGUGGGAGGAGCUUCUUCAAAAUCUAUCAAUCUAAACAUGGUGAGUAUUGUUGAUUUUCAGUUUUGUUACUACUUGGUGUUCAUAAGAACAGUUUUUUUAAGCAUAGCUCAAUUUGAAGUUUAUUUUGCAAUUCAUUUGUUUUAUGUAAAUUAUUUAAUUUACUUUCUACUCACUAAUGAUCUUCAGUUUUAUAUUGAAAGGAGCAGAUUUACAUUUACGUUCCGAUACGGGCUUUUUAAUCCCGUUUCUCUCUAUUCCCCCUUGUAUUUCUUUUCUCCCAUGCUUUGUCGAUUUUGUCUUUGCUUGUCGUUUUGUUUCAUUUUUUUUCAAGUCCUGAACGUCGGCAUAGCAUACGUCGGUCGCUCCCGUCUAUUCCGUGUGACACACUGUGGGUACACUGUGGGUACAUGUUAUGCGUGUAUUUCCAUUUUU